CUUCCACUCUGAGGGCAAACAGCCUUGAGCUACAAUUGCAAGAUCCUUUGAGAAAUUCUCAGCCUUUGUUGCGAGAUGAGGAUCUCCGAUGUCACCUACCAACUGAUUGAUUGUUAGCAGCUGCUAGGACACUGUGCCCAGGAUUCAGAAUGGACCGGAAGGAAUGCCAAGAUCAUGAGUGAUACCUGCGUGGGCACGAGAUGGCCAGCACUGGCCCAUGUCUCUAGGUCCUGCUCUCCCUGAUGACAAACAUGUACUCUGACAACUCACAUGGUUGUCAAUGGCAACUGACAAGAUAUUCAACAACUAUUCUUCACUUUCUCGCCAAAGCCUUUGAAUCUUAGAAAUAAUCUGAACCAACACUUUGGAAACCACACUGACUUCUAAACCCUUUGAACCUAAGAGUCACAAGGAUGAAAUUUUGGCAUAUGCAUGUCCCCAUGGCCAUGAGCUCUAAGACUUCUGUGUCUUCAGUUCGAUUUUCGGCUGUGUGUAUGUCCACCCCACACCCACCUGAUGUGAUGGGCUGUCAUGCUCUUUGCUCCAUGUGGCAUCAGGGGCAGCUUGUACGGUUGGCAGUUGUUUGAAUUGAGGAAUGGAUUUUAAUGAACUACAGUUUCUUCUGCUCAACUGGAAUUGAAGUAGUCACAGACUAAAUUAACAGUCACGGUCAAAAACUAAGAUGACAGCUGUGUCACAGAAGAGUGAAGGAACUAAAAGACUCUUGCAAGGUGGUUUUGGAAGCCUCAGAUGUUAGAAUAAGGCAAGUGACAUGGCUGAAAAACA